GGGUCGGAACUGGAGACCAGCGGAGAGGAUUGGGUCUCAGGGGUCGGGACCGGUCUGGAGGUUGAUCACUUAGGCUUGGAAAGCUAAGACAGGUGAUCAGGGGCUCGGAUUAGGAUUAACUUGGAAGAUUUGGGGUCGGUCGUCACAGUUUGAGACUGCUUGAUCAUAAUGUCACACUGAGUAAUGAAAGAGUCUAAUGAUGACAUGGUCUUGAUGUUGAACUUAUAUACAUAAAGUUGGAUCUAUGUUUGCUUAGAGUAAGUUGCAAAUGUAGACUGGUUAAUAAACUUAGAAUUUGAGCUAAAACUUGAAAGCAAGGACCUAAUGUAGUCGCUUUUGGGCAAAC
rnacentral:lncRNA from 1 species